AGAGCGAAGAUAUGUUGUUAACAAGGGCAAAAACAAGAUGCAGUUUGCUGCAUAUAGAAAACAGAGGGAUCCUAUUGAAAAGCAAUGAAGAAGAAUUGAAUUAUUCUAUUGCAGAGCUCAGGAUAAACUACGCUUCUUUACCAGAAAAAUUUACGAAAUAAGAGUUGGAUAAGAUGGUAAGUAAGUGGGUUUGGUAUUCAAUGUGGCUGUGUUUAGUUAAUUUCUGUAGAGUAUUAAAUGCUUGAAUACAAAGACUUUUGGCCUUCUUUGAAGCCCAAGUGAUUCAGAUUUCAAAUUUAUGUGUACAUUGAUAAGUGUGGGUGUAGACACCCAAUAUGAUUCUUACAUGGUGUUGCUAUGUGGAUUUUGACGGAAUUAUAUUGGGGAUUGUCCAAAUUUUGGUUUAGCUGCAGAUGAAGCAAGAUCAAAAGGUUAUAAAUUAGAGGUAUAAUUUAAUUUUUAUAUUUGAUGCAUCGUUGGAUUAAUGAAUAUAGUAGGAACAUUGACUUGGAGUAUGUGCUUUCGUUCAUUUUUUAGAAUGGAAAACUGAAUUUGUGUUUUUAUGAGUGUGUAUAUACUCAGUACUUAUUUUAAUUACAGUGGAAGUGAUUGAAAAUUAUCGAGAAUUAGUAAAGUUUACACACCGAAAGAAAUAGAUCGAAAAUAGCAUUAUUUAGUAGUAAGGAAAAUUAGGGUUUCAAUUAAAGGAUGGCAGGAGGAGGAGGAGGAAGACCUUUGGGGCAAACACCAACUUGGGCAGUUGUCGAUAUUUGUUUUCAUUUGGUUUUGGUUUUGAUCCACAUCAAAUAUUUCAUUCAUUUAAUUGGAAAGGUUUCCUUUCACACGUAAUUGGGUUAAUUUCAUCUUAUCAAGUCACUUUCGGGUUUAUUAUGAAUGUGAAAUGAAUUAUUUUGAUUAAAUUUGAAUUGCAAUCCUUGCAGUGGUUGACAAAGAGAAACAAAAGAGCUCUCUAUGAAGCUCUUGAGAAUAUGCUAUUAGGGCUCCUAUCUUUGCUUCUAACAGUAGGACAAGACCGCAUUUCAGAUAUGUGUACAUCGAAGGCUGUUGAAGCUACUUGGCAUCCAUGCAAUAGUAAGCAACAUAUCAAAUCAGACAAAGGCAAAGAUAAGAGUGGUGCUUCAGAUGACAACUCCCGCAGAUGGCUUCCCUCAGCCUUGGAUUCCAGUGGGGGGUGGCCGAUGUGAGCUGCUGGAUAUGACAAAUGUGCAACCAAGUUUAAGAGCGCCCACGCGUUAAUCAUCGUGGAUUGCUCUGCUUCGACUACGUUUCCGUCCGUUUCCAUCGCCAUUUCUUUCCCUCUUUUUCUCUCCCGACUCUCUCUCACUGCCCUAUUCUCUCACGCCCGCUCACCAUCUCACUCCAGGCAAUACAUACAUGAACUCGAUGAGAAGCCACCAUCUCUUAUCUACAAAGCGAAUAAGAACUCAGCAGAUUUAGAUUGUAGAAAAAUGAUCAAAAACAGCUUCAAGCAAGCACAUGAGUUUGAGAAGAGACGCGCUGAAUCUCACUCCGCCAUUCGCCCCUCCGUCCUCUCAUGAUCUCUCACACCCUCUCUCUAAUUUCAGAACAAUAUUAAGCAGCUUGAGCUCUCUUUGCAUUGAAUCAAUGGCAGUCAUCUAGAGGGAUUUCUUCUUUGUGAUCAUCUUCAUGUUUGAUUGGUGAUUUAGCGUGUGGAUUGUCUACUUCUUUGAUGAAAACUCACACCGUUGGGACUAAUAUAGGUUUCUCAUAUUUUCUUCCACCAUUUGUGAGGGAUUUAAUUUUCCUUUUCUGGUUUUCUUAUACUCAAGGUAUGAUUUACAUUCUGGAAUUCAUGGUUCAAUUGGAAACCACGAUGACAUAUCAACGUGUGUUGGACCCUCGAUUUUGUAUUAUUUACAUUCCUGCCAUUUUAUGUUAUUGUGUUAUUUGGGUAUGAAUUCUUCCGUUGUUUGUCCAUGCAGGCCGAGGUUAAGGGGCAAAAAAUCACAUGGUUGACCCCUCACCCUUUGCAUUUGAGUCUACUGAGUUCUGCGGAUUCACUCAAUUGCAAUCAUCUCUUACAACACUUGCACCGUGAAGUCGAUGAAAUUGGGUUCCAUUUGUCCAGUUUAUAAAAUUCCAUAUCGACGCAGAGGCACUGGGAAGACGACUCUGUCUACGGAUCAUAAUCGGUAUCUAAUUGGAGAUGAUGAGCACUGCUGGGGCAACAAUGGUGUGUCAAACAUUGAAGGUGGUUGCUAUGCCAAGUGCAUUGAUUUGUCAAUGGACAAGGAACCAGAUAUUUGGAAUGCUAUCAAAUUUGGGACUGUUUUGGAGAAUGUCGUGUUCGAUGACCAUAAUCGAGAAGUUGAUUACUCAGAGAAAUCUGUUACUGUCGUGAUUGAGGGAGCUUGAAAUGGCAAUUGGAUUUCACGUCGUUGGUAAGGAAGACCCUUCAAGCGUCUUCCAUUUUGUUCUAUCGCUUUUCUGCUUCUCUUCCUCCCUCUUUCUCUCCCCCUCUCUCUGCCUCAAAUUCAAUCCGGUCAUCUAAAAACGUAGUUCUUCUAUUUUUCUCUGCCAUUUUCCAGAAACGGAUCAGGCGUUUCAGAUUUGGAUUUGGAUUUUGGGGAUUGUAUGAUUAUAUCUCUAUUCAUUUGGCUGUCUCGAUCAAUAAUUUCAAUCUUCAGAUUUGCGAAUGCCCUUUGCUAUCUGCUCGAUUGGAAGUGCUCAAUAUCUUUGAAAAUCCUCUCACUAAUACAUGUGCAUCUUGCCUCUCCGCUAUCUUGGAAAAUUGCAAGGGUCUAUCUGGGGGAGCAGUAUGUAUCCUAUGCUGCCCAAUGUCAUUUUCUUAGUCAAAGGUUUAACAUCUCAACCCUAGCAGCCAGAACCCCAAAGGUUGCAUCUUCCAAGUGGGGAAUUACGUUAGGGUUUCAAAUCGGGAGAUGCGUAUUCGAACUCUAAUUCAUGAUUUGUGUUUGUGAUCUUUACGAUUCGUUCGAGGAACCAAUGUUUCGUCAUCUAGAUGUUAAGUGUCUCCAUGGUCAAUGUCCCAUUCUUCAUUGUUGACAACUUUAUCAUUUGAUAUACUUCAACUUCUCAUUCUUCAUGAUUCAGACUUUCAGCUAUAUCGAUUAGUACUGAGUGAAGUACAAGUGGCAAUAGAGAAUAAUGUGAAAAGAUUUGUUACGAGUUAAAGGUGAAUCCGAGGAUCCUUCCCGCCUCUUCCAUACUCUUAAGUUCGCAACCUCUGCCGCUUCCAGCUCUGGACUCAGAUCCGAAGCCCUCAUGUUUAAACAAGAAGCUAAAGCGUAAUCAAAGGAUUUGUCGACCUAUUGUGGAAGGGAUGGACAGAAGUCCCAAGCAUCAAUCUCUUUGUGAUCAUUGCUGGGAAAAUAUCGUGGUCAUUUUGAGUUCGGAUUCAGCUAGCAUGUGAUCUGUGCAAGCUAUCCAUAUCUGGAUCAAUGCUAUGGACUCUUCUCAACCUAUGGACCUCAAAUUUCAGUGUGUCUUCCAUCAUUUAUCCUACCUCACUAUGCAUGGAGCUAUUACAUUUGCAAUCAUAUUAAUUUCUUGAAAACAAUAUUUAUAUUUCUCUGUAAACUGCUAAUUUUGGAAUAUACUAUCGUUUCCUUGCUGGUACAUUAAAAUGAAAAUAUGAAAAGUAGUCUCAAUCUCGCUCGGGGGUGUUGUAGGCCAAUUCGAUGCUACGAGGCACUUCGUUUAGGGCUAUCUGAGGGUGAGAGGUGUUGGGUGUCUGAGACAAGGGGUUUCAGUUUAGGGAACCAAAACAUUCAGUUUCGUCCUGUUCAUUGUACAAUGUCUUUUCAUGUGAGUUCAGUUCAAUGUAUAUAAAAACGAAGUUGCAUAUCUUACCGACCCCAUUUACUCAUCUA